rnacentral:rRNA from 1 species
UACGUAGGGGGCAAGCGUUGUCCGGAAUCAUUGGGCGUAAAGAGCGUGUAGGCGGCCCGGUAAGUCCGCUGUGAAAGUCCAGGGCUCAACCCUGGGAUGCCGGUGGAUACUGUCGGGCUCGAGUCCGGAAGAGGAGUGUGGAAUUCCUGGUGUAGCGGUGAAAUGCGUAGAGAUCAGGAGGAACACCAAUGGCGAAGGCAGCUCGCUGGGACGGUACUGACGCUGAGGCGCGAAAGCGUGGGGAGCAAACAGG